rnacentral:rRNA from 1 species
GACGGAGGGUGCUAGCGUUGUUCGGAAUCACUGGGCGUAAAGGGCGCGUAGGCGGCCUUGCAAGUCGGUUGGUGAAAGCCCGGGGCUCAACCCCGGAGGUGCGGCCGAGACUGCAGGGCUGGAGGCCGGAAGAGGAGGGUGGAAUACCCAGUGUAGAGGUGAAAUUCGUAGAUAUUGGGUGGAACACCGGUGGCGAAGGCGACUUCCUGGCCUGUUCUUGACGCUGAGGCGCGAAAGCUAGGGGAGCAAACGGG